AUGGUCUACCUCCGAAAAGAGAGGCUGCCUUUAGGUGUUAAAGGGAAACUUAGUCAGCGAAGGUAUGGGCCCUUCUCUAUCGCGAGGAAGAUAAAUGAUAAUGCUUAUGUGAUAGAUCUUCCAAGUGACAUGGGCAUCUCCAACACUUUCAAUGUUGCGGACUUGACUCUCUACCAUCCAGAAGAAGCGCUCUAUGAAGAUAACUCGAGGGCGAGUUCCAAACAACCAGGGGAGAAUGAUGAGGAACACUGGAUGAGAAGAAAGAAAACACAUGCCAGAUUUGUUUGGCUACUUCUAGAUGCUUCCACUCUAAUGUAG
rnacentral:rRNA from 1 species